AUACAGAGGGUGCGAGCGUUAAUCGGAAUUACUGGGCGUAAAGCGCGCGUAGGCGGUCUAUUAAGUCAGAUGCGAAAUCCCAGGGCUCAACCUUGGAACUGCAUCUGAUACUGGUAGACUAGAGUUUUGGAGAGGGAAGUAGAAUUUCAGGUGUAGCGGUGAAAUGCAUAGAGAUCUGAAGGAAUACCAGUGGCGAAGGCGACUUCCUGGCCAAAAACUGACGCUGAGGUGCGAAAGCGUGGGUAGCAAACGGGAUUAGAUACCCUUGUAGUCC
rnacentral:rRNA from 1 species